rnacentral:lncRNA from 1 species
AUUUUUCUAUUUUUUUUCAGAGGCAAACUGUUGUUUCAGACAUACUAGAAAUUUUAAUUUGUUACAUAUAUGUCUAUAUAGCUGACCCUUUGUUUCCAUGGAGUCAAUCAAGUAUGGAUGGAAAGUAUUCGGGGGGGGGGGGGGGAGAUGCACCUGUGCUAAAAUAAACAUUUACACUUUUUUCUCAUCAUUAUUUGCUAAACAAUGCAGCAUAGCAAGUCAUUCCAUGCCCUGCAUAUUAUAUUAGGCAAUAUGAAUGAUUUAGAGACGAUAAUGUACAUAGGCAGAGUCAUCAGUGUUGGUGACAUGUGUCUAUAUUUCAUCCCCUUUACCUCAUCAGAAGGCUUAAGCAGGAGGAUGUCUUGAACCCAGGAAUUUACACACAUAGAUAAUCUUUUCUCAAACAAACCCUGCUGGGUAGGGUAGUACGUUCUUGUAAUCCUAGCACAUGGGAAGAUUAUUCUCAGCAACACAGGGAGCUCAAGGCCAACCUAGGCUACAUAAGACCCUUUCUUAGCAGCAACAACAAAAAUACAUAGAUGAUGUCCAUAGACUUUGUAGAAAUGCUUUGAUAUCUUACAUGGCAUCAUUUCAGUCUCCCUGGAUUUGGGUAUCUGAAGAAUCCUGGAACUAGUCCCUUGUGAAUACUGAAGGGAGACUUUAUAUGUAAUAUUUCAUUUCACUUUUCAAGUACCAGGGAAUGACUUGUAUCUUCCUAUUUUUCUUUCAGAGGAACAGAUUAAUAAAAUUGUGUUAUAGUUAUUGACUAUUCAUUCAACGAGUAGGCAUGGAGUCAGAGACUCUUGGUUUUGAGUUUCUGUCUUCUUAGGGUACUAAGCUGUUUAAUCUCUCUGAGCUUCCAUUUUCAGUAUAAUCUUUGUAUCGCGUAUUACUCUAGCAUUAUAGUUCUAGAUAUCAAAUAUCCUAAAUCUGAAAGUUCCUUAAGUGACCAUAAAAAUCUAUGUUAAGUAUUAGGCAUGUUAAUCGGGCUAGGAUCGAUUGAGCUAGAUAGAAUCCAGGCCUCCUACAGAGUCCCUUAACUCUUGGAACAUGCAGGACAAACAACACAUGCUUAGAUUUCAGUUCUUAGAGUUAUACAUCUUUGAUCCUGUUUUCUUAUUUUGUUUAUUUGUUUGCUUUUUUUUUGAAGGUUUAUUUAUUUUAUGUAUGUGCAGUGUAGUUAUCUACAGACACACCAGAAGAGGGCAUCAGAUCCCAUAUACAGGUGGUUGUGAGCCACCGUGUGGUUGCUGAGAAUUAAACUUAGGACCUAUAGAAGAGUAGUCAGUGCUCUUAACUGCUGAUCCAUCUCUCCAGCCCCUGAUUUUGUUUUUUUGAGACAGCAUCUCACUAUAUAACCGUGGCUGGCCUGGAACUUGCUAUGUAGACCAAGCCAACCUUAAAUUCAAAUCUACCUGCAUUUGUCUCUUGAGUGCUGGAAUUAACAGUAUGCACCAUCUUGCCUAGCCAGAUUUAACCAUCUUAAUGUUUGUGUAUAAUUUUUUUAAAUGACCUACAAGUUUAGCAUAUAGUACUUACCUUAAUCCCUGCAUUUGGACACAGGCAGAAGGAUCCUGAGCCUGAUACCGAACAAGACCCUGUCUUUAACUACUAAAAGGCAUGGGGGUAGUGGCCAAAGUACAUGAUAUAAUUAAUUGUAUGAAAAUGUCUUUAUAAAGUGCAUCAAUAUGUGAAAUAGUAUGUGCCAAUAAAAAUUUAUGUUUAAU